ACACUUGCUUGCGUUGCGUCUCCCCUGCACCCACCGCCUGCCUGCCUGUAUAAAUAGGGCGCUGGCACAAGAGGCAGCGGCAGUAGCAGAGGCAGUAGUAGCACAGGUCUCGCAGUUCCAGCUGGACCUCAUCUCUCUCAGGCGAGCGUGCUGAAGGGAGGAGGAGAUGAACGGGGAUCAGGCGUCGCGGUGGGCGGCGGCGCAGGAAGGGGUCGCGGUCGGCGCGGACCUCGCCACGGCGGCGCUCCGGCAGCUGGAGUUUCUCGCGGCGGUAGACCUCCGCCGGUGGCUCUACGAGGGGCCUCUGCUCGAGAGGGCCAUACACAGGUACAAAGCAUGCUGGCUUCCCCUUCUUGCCAAGCACACUCGGGAUGCUGUUGUAGAUGGGCCAUUGGUUGUCCCUCUUGAUUGUGAGUGGAUAUGGCACUGCCAUCGGCUUAACCCGGCUCAGUACAUCAGGGACUGCAAGAAAGUAUAUGGCAGAAUACUGAACAAUGACAAUGUUGAGUCAUCCAUUCGAACAAAAUCGAAGCUUCAGUCGGAGAAAGUUUGGACAGAGUUGUAUCCUGAGGAGCCCUUCGAGUUGGAGUACAAAAGUUCUUCUGACACUGCCAUAGAUGUGAACCCUGGCGCUGCCGAGGGGAUUUCCUAUGAUUUGGUUUCAGCUGUUAAGAGACAAUCUUCUUUCUAUUAUCAGGUUGGCACACCAACCAUGCAUGAUCAGCGUUUUCUUGAAGAAGCGUUAGCUCGAUACAAAGGGUUUUUGUAUCUGAUCAAGAUGAAUCAGGAGAAAGGAAUGCAGCGCUUCCAUGUACCAACCUACGAUGUGGAUCUCAUGUGGCACACUCACCAGCUGCAUCCUGUUACCUACCGCAAUGACAUGUUGAAGCUUCUUGGAAAGGUUCUGGAGCAUGAUGACACCGACUCUGAUCGAUCUGAAGGAAAGAAGCUUGACGUCGGCUUUACUGAGACUGCAGAGCAGUUUGAGAAUACCUUUGGUGUAAGAUACUGUAAGGCCGGCUCUAUGUACCGUGGCAACAUGCCAUCUCCUGUGACAGCCGCGCCCCAGAUGUUUAGUAGCGAGGUUGGAAACGGGUUGAGUAUCUUCAAAGCUGAGAAGCAACUUAAUGUUCUUCAAACAACGGUUGUAGAGUUAUAUUUAAAAAUUGUGGACAUCAAUAAUUUACCAUCUGCAAUUCCAAAGGAAAAUGUGCAUGUAUGGUUCACCAAGAAUCAAUCUGAUAUGUUUAUCAGUGAUGGCGGCAGGCUAGAUAUUUCAACAAAUACUGGGAAGAGUAUUGGAGCUGGUUUUCAAUGUGAACCUACUGGAGAACUUAUUCUGACAGUAAUGGUUGAUCAGGCCUCUAAGAAAUCAGAACCAAUAGGGAAGGUUUCUAUUCCUCUGCAGGAGUUGACAGGGCCUGAUUCUAAGCUCUCCUUCGAGAGGUGGUUUGAACUGAAACCUCAUGGUAGGCAUGCUAGUUCCCCUCCGGUCAGUCUUCGAGUUGCCGCCUCAUCUACUGUCCCAACCAGGGCUCAGCAGGUGCUUAGGAUGAUCAGGAUGGAGCCUUUCUCUUUGAAUACCUGUCUGUUGCCACCUUCCAUCACGGAUCAAAAGAUGGGCAGCAGGAUCCGCUUUGUGUAUGAUUGUGGCACUGAGCUUAUCCGUCUUCAGAUAAGAGAGCACAAGGCAAAGAACGGCAUGGCUUUCAUCCGGGAACUGGUUGGAGUCUCUAAGCCGUCCAAAACGCAAUUUCAGCUAGCAGAAUUCAAGGAAAAUAAGUGGACACUGAAAAACUCCAACUUGUCAAUCGCUGAUGAUGCAAUACCAAGCGACAGCGCCGAUGGCUGUAUGCUCGUGCUCAAAGGUGACAACCAACUGGUCAAACUGUACCGGGGAAGGAGGCUCGAAUACGAACCGAGAUGCUGCAAUCGUCAUUCUCAGAAUGCCUCGGCGGUUACUGCCGUGAAGUUCUGUGCUGAACACCCAUAUGGCAAAGCUGUUGCAUUGCUCGACACUGAGUCCCAGUUCAUCAUGGUGAAUGAAGAUUGGUUCCUGCUUCCCUGGAUUGCGAUAUCAUUCCUGUCCCUUGAUAACACCGAUGGUGGAGACGGUGCAAAGCUCAUUGGUGGCGCCAUGGUUCAGAAAGGGGCAAUGUCUGAGUCUGACGCCACUAUGGUUUCAGAAGCAGUGGCCGUUGGAGGAGUGGGCGCCGCCAUGGCUCCUGCACAAUGCGGCACUUGUGGCACGGCGAGCGGUGGUAACAUGGUCGUGGCGAGCGACAAGGCUGACGAUGCUAGCAUGGCCAUUGGAAGCGGCGAGGAAGCUGAUGCCAAGUGUGGUGGUUGCGGGUCGGGCUGCGGUGCUGGUUGCGGCUCCAUGGUCACCGCGAACUCCAAAGAUGGUCAUGCGAGUUGUGGCACUUGCAGGGCAAUUGUUGGGACCGGCGGCAGUUGCAAAGCCCAUGCCAAGUCUGGAGGCUGCGGUUCCGGGUGCGGCGGCGGCUGUGGGGGCGGCGCCAUGUUCAAUGCGAGCACCAUGGCCGGCCAGGCCAAGCCCGGCGGCUGCGGUUCAGGCUGUGGCGGCGGCUGCGGUGGCGGCGGUAGUUGUGGCGCCAUGUUCAACGCGAGCACCAUGGCCGGCCAGGCCAAGCCCGGCGGCUGUGGCGGCUGCUGCGGCGCUGGCGGCGGUUGCGGAGCCAUGGUCGUUGAAAGCUCCAAGCCCUGCCACACCAGGUCCGCGGGCUGCGGCUCUGGCUGCGGCGGCGGUUGCAGCGCGAUAAUGUUCAACGCGAGCAGCGCUUGCAAGGCCGGCCAGGGCGAGGUCAGGUCCGGAGGCUGCGGGUCAGGCUGCGGCGGCGGUUGCGGUGGCAUGGCCAUCGAGGGCUCCAGUGGCGGCGGCCGCGCCAAGUCCGGAGGCUGCGGUUCAGGGUGCGGCGGUGCGGUGUUCAACGCGAGCGCCUGCAAGACCGGCCAAGAGGCAGAGUCCGCCGGCUGCGGCUCCGGCUGCGGCGGUGGCUGCGGCGGCGGCGGCAUGUUCAACGCGUGAUCCAAGCUGCAGGCCGACGAUUGAGCCAGAGGUGAAGUGAGCUGAGAGUAAAACCCGUGUGCUGUUGCCAUCUUCUACUACAUGAUUCGCCAUUCGUGAGCUCCUCCUGGGGACGAUUGGGAUGGGCGGCUGUGACUGUGAUGAUCAGCUCGUGAGGAGGUCCAAAAACUAGAAAAAGCCAAGCGGUGGUUGUGGCGCCAUGUUCAAGGGUGGUGCAUGGUGGUUAGCAAAGCCGCCGCCGGUGCUUCGGCUAGCCGCUCCUCCAAUGGCCGUGGUCGAGACAGAGUACCGAUGGAUAUACUUGCUCUUUAACAGGCCAAGAAUGAAGAGAACUCGAUCGUGUGCUGUUGCCAUCCGUUACCUGCUGUGGGCCUGUGGCAUUGGCGCGUGUUGAGAAUUGGGAUGCCCUGAGCUUGUAAGAUAAAUAAAUAAACAACCCUGUGUUCGGGAAAGAAAAGGAAAACAUGUGUUGCCGCAGCGGUGUCGCAGUGUCGCUUAUGCUGUGACCUGUGCGAGCCAUGUGGCCAUACGUUGGAAUGGCGUAGUCUGGUGAUGGUGAAUGGUGGCCGGUGGUGAUGCUAUGCUGAAUGGCACGCGUCAUGUCCUUGGCCCAUUUUUCUUUCCACACCUCCUAUUCUUCAAGUGACUGAUUUCUCCAGUUUUUUCAGUUCACAAAGUCCGGCGAGGUUAGCGGCGCAGAUUAACUUCCCAGGGGUUCAUCGGUGCCGGAUUUGGAUUUGGAGAGAGCCGUGGGAGAUAGGCUGGCCUCAAGACGGGAGCAAGGUGAUUCCGGCACGUGGAGGAAGAAACACAGCACGUGUUGACUGGAGGAAGAAGAGACGAGGAGCGUCGUCGGAUGGAAAGCGUGUGGCUUUGCUUGGUCGACCCAAAAACAGGACGUUUUCGGUCUCCUGUAAAAUACUUAUUUCGUUCUCGUUUACUUAUCAACUUUUUAUUAUAGUAAGUUUGACCUUAUGUACAUGGUAUUUUUCACAGCCAGUUUACACGUCGACGUGACCACGUACGUACACAGGCACUCUACGAACGCAAACGCAGAGAGCAC